GAGGAAAAUGGGGAGUGCAGGGCUGGAAAAAGGGGAAAAAAAAGGAUUUUUAAAGCUGAGAAAAAGGGAGAAUGCAGGGCUGGAAAAGAGAUUUUUAAAGCUGAGGAAAAGGGAAAAAAGGGAUUU
rnacentral:lncRNA from 1 species